UAAAAAUAAUGAUAAUAUUAUUUUUAUUUUUAUUUAAAUAAGGCCAUCGAGAUGCGUGCAAGUUACUAUUCACUCAUCUUCUUCCUCACACCCACAAAACCCUAGCUGCCCAAAUCAAGUUCAAUCGUCGACGUCAUCUCCCUCCCUUUGUGGACUGUCACCGUGAAGUCGUCACACAAUCCAUCAAUACCUAUCCAUUCCCAUCUAAGUCGAGCUUCUUCAAACCAAACCAUUUUUGUCCGCUCCCUUAGUUUCCAAUCAACGUCGUGUCUCCUUCGUCAUUCCAUCAUGCAGUCGUCGUCUCUCCUUGCCAAGCCGAUCUCUCCUCCAUCGUUCUCUCGUCGCAAGCCUUAAGCAUUCGAGCAUGAGUUGAGUCGCCCCUGUGCGUGUAAGCCAAGCUACGUCUUUCAGAGCCAAUCGUUCGUGCAAGCUAUCCUCUACCAUCAACCUGAGCCGCCUUUCAUCCUUUGCAAGCUACGUAAGCCAUCUACCCAGCCAAGCCGAUUUCCUCUUUACCCAAGCCGCCUAGCCGACUUCCUCUCUAUCCAAGCUGUUCUUGAGCCACCAAGCUUAUUUUGGUUCUUUUUCCACCUAUUUUGGUAAGUUUCAAUGACUUUUGGAUAAUACCCAUGAGAUGUUAAUUUUGGAUUCUAAAUAAUUUAAUUUUGGAUUAUUUUUCUGAAGGCUUGGUUAGAUCUAAUUGGGUAAGUUGUAUUAAAUUGAUUUUGAGUCUUUAAGCAACCAUUAAAAUUAUUAUUUUAGUUAUUUGGUUCCUUUACUGUUUAGGACUUGAUUGUUUGGGAAGCUUGAUUGUUGCUUUUAGGAAUAUUUUUAGUUAAGCUAAUCUCGAGAGGCAGAUGUAGAGGAAAACUGACGAAUGACAAGAAGUAACCGCGACUUGCCAUAAGGAAACGUUUUGCUUUCAGUUUUACCUUUCAGUUUUGAUUUUAGUACUUUUUUUUUUUUUUUUAUGUUCUUUGAUUAUUUUUCUUUAAAAUCAGAUAGGACUCUAAUUAGGAUUUUAUUUUAUAUCUUAUUUCUAUAUACUUUGAUCUAUUUAUAAUUAUAAUAAGCAUUUCAGGUUUUCAAUGAAAGUUAGUUUUGUUUUCCAUUUUGUUUAAA